UUCCCUCGAUCCGCCGUUCCAUUCCCCACUCACCUCGUUCCAGGUCCAGCACACUCCCUAAAAAACUGCGGCGGCCCUGCUAUCUCCGACGAAAACCCUAACCACGCUCGCAGCGCACCGCCCACUACUCCGUCCCCUGAGCGGCGGCCGAUUGGCUGCUUUCCAUGGCCUCGACGGCGGCGCCGGUCGCCGAACACCGGACUCAGUUGUUGCUCACAGACCUCGGCGACGAGCUCCUGGAGGAGGUUUUCCUCCGCCUGCCCACCCCGGCGGAGCUCGCGCGCGCCUGCACCGCCCGCGCCUCCUUCCGCCGCAUCAUCACCGAGCGCUCCUUCCUUCGCAGCUACCGCAAACGCCACCCGCCGCCGCUCCUGGGGUUCGUGGGUGAGGAAGGCGGCUUCCACCCCGCCUAGGCGCCCCACCCCUCCGCCCCGCUCGCCCGUGCCCUCGCCGACGCUGCCGAUUUCACCUACUCCUUCGUCCCCCAACACGGCGAGGGGCACGUGUGGGUCCCGUGCGAUGCCCGGGAUGGCCGUGUCCUUCUCGAAGACGGACAAAUUUGGGAGGCCUUCAGACACCUUGCCGUCUGCGAUCCAUUGUUUCGUGGCUACGCGCUGCUUCCACCCGUUCCCGGGAACCUGGCACUCCAGGAGAAAGGCCGCCCUGUAACCAAUUCACUCAUGCCCAUUGCCGAGGAUGAGGAUGAGACAUUGUUCAAGGUGAUAUGCUUGGCUAACUACGAAACCAAGCUGGUUGCAUUUCUAUUCUCUUCCGUCACAGGAGAAUGGUGCAUAGCCGCAACUGUCAGCUGGAGCUCUUUGGGCAGCCAGCCACAGAUAUGGCGAAACUUCAGAGGUUGCGAUUACCGUGGCGUGUCCUGUUUUGACUGUGCGCGCGGCUCCUACUACUCAACAUCGACUUUUAACGACAAGCUGCUUGUGUUGGACACAAGGAAAAUGGAGUUUUGCAUUGUCGAUGAUCGUACUGGCUACCAUAUGAACCUCAGAUGUCUGCCUGGCCAGCACGAGGACGUUGUCGACAUCUAUGUGCCAUCCCGAUUCCGGCCUGGCCAGAGUAGAAGUCUGCCUCGCAUUGUUGUGGGUAGAGAAGGAGCCCUUGAGAUGUUUUCUCUCGUUGGUGAUCACACUCCAAAUGGCUCUUUUGAUCUCUAUCAUACCACUCAGCAAAAUAAUGGCCAGUCUUCCAAGGAAUGUCAGCUGGAGAAUAUUAUACCGUUGCCCGGCAAGUAUGACUAUUUCACUGUGGGUGCAGCUGAGGGAUUCUUAUUCCUUGGAGCCACUACAGAAGAUCAGCUGGACUUUGUUGAAAGCGUCCCUAUGAGCUUGUUGACGACUGAGUGGAAUGUAGAUUAUUUUGCAUUGGAUGUCAAGACUUCUGAACUUACUAAGGUUUGUAGGAGCAGGAGGCAAUUCUUCCAUAAAGAAGAUGUUCACUGCUACUUUGGCUUCCCCCUGUCGUUGUCAAAACCGAGUAUAUGAUGAAGUGGGAUCAACUCGCUUUGUUUCAGGGGUUCUUGUACUUGGGCCAUGUAUCUGAUGCCUUUGAUGAAAUGGAGGAUGGACAUGAUGGUGCUGAGAAAUAUGCUCACUAGAUAUAGCACUCAAGCCUUGGUAUUAUUCAUUAAGAAUUAGCCAUCAUGUACUUUCUAUGGUUGUAUUAGGCUUUUUUAAGCAAAGACAUGUUGUAAACAAGCUGAAUUUGUUGAACUCUAUCUCCAAUGAGAGUUGUACUGUACUUUUGUGUUGGAAGCAUGACAUUGUCUGUUUAUCCUUGUUCAGUCAUUAACCUGGUCAUGUUUGCAGCCA